GGGRAUGACGCUGGCGGCAGGCCUACACAUGCAAGUCGAGCGGAGGGGGUGCUUGCUUCUSGAGGGAGCGGCGGACGGGGAGKAAUGCCUAGGAAUCUGCCUGGUAGUGGGGGAUAACGUCCGGAAACGGGCGCUAAUACCGCAUACGUCCUGAGGGAGAAAGUGGGGGAUCUUCGGACCUCGCGCUAUCAGAUGAGCCUAGGUCGGAUUAGCUAGUUGGUGRGGUAAAGGCCCACCAAGGCGACGAUCCGUAACUGGUCUGAGAGGAUGAUCAGUCACACUGGAACUGAGACACGGUCCAGACUCCUACGGGAGGCAGCAGUGGGGAAUAUUGGACAAUGGGCGAAAGCCUGAUCCAGCCAUGCCGCGUGUGUGAAGAAGGUCUUCGGAUUGUAAAGCACUUUAAGUUGGGAGGAAGGGCAGUUACUUAAUACCUUGUUGUUUUGACGUUACCAACAGAAUAAGCACCGGCUAACUUCGUGCCAGCAGCCGCGGUAAUACAAAGGGUGCAAGCGUUAAUCGGAAUUACUGGGCGUAAAGCGCGCGUAGGUGGUUCAUUAAGUUGGAUGUGAAAUCCCCGGGCUCAACCUGGGAACUGCAUYCAAAACUACUUGACUAGAGUAUGGUAGAGGGUGGUGGAAUUUCCUGUGUAGCGGUGAAAUGCGUAGAUAUAGGAAGGAACACCAGUGGCGAAGGCGACCACCUGGACUGAUACUGACACUGAGGUGCGAAAGCGUGGGGAGCAAACAGGAUUAGAUACCCUGGUAGUCCACGCCGUAAACGAUGUCGACUAGCCGUUGGGAUCCUUGAGCUCUUAGUGGCGCAGCUAACGCAUUAAGUCGACCGCCUGGGGAGUACGGCGCAAGGUUAAAACUCAAAUGAAUUGACGGGGCCGCACAGCGGUGGAGCAUGUUGUUUGAUUCGAAGCACGCGAAGAACCUUACCU
rnacentral:rRNA from 1 species